AAGCCAAAGUUGUCCCCCGGGAUGGCUGAGGUUUAUGUCGAGUUGCUACCAGCUUUCUACAGAGCCAAACACCUGGAUAUAUGCCAAACAAAACUGUGAGACAAAAGGAGCUCAACUUAUGAUUUUGAAUGAUGAAACAGAACAGAGACCUUUCAUUGGAGGAAUGGUAAAAAUCUGGAUCGGCCUCUAUGUUGAAACAGACAGUUAUACCUCAUGUUGGAACAUGAAGGAUGUAAAUGGAAGACUGCUGAAAUAUAGUGCAUCAAACACCCCGAAACCAAAAUUUUGGACUGGUCUCUCCCAAAGUUGUGUUUACAUUGAUCAGAGUCUUCCAUGCAUGAGCUCUUGGUCUACGGGCACCUGUAGGGAAAAGUUCUAUUGGAUCUGUGAAAAACAAAUGAGCACCACUGGUGUUUGACUCCAUUCACCAUGUGCAUGUCUGAGAGGAAAUCUCAGUUUAAAUCCAUCUCUCUUUUAACUAGGCCGGCAAAUUUUUAAUUGGAAAAGCUUCCUGGAUGGGAAGCGAAACGUCUUAAAACUUGGGGGGAAAAAAAAAGACUAGUUGUUUGUUUUUUAACUUUUUUUGGAUGACUAUGACCUGGAUGACUGAAAUUCUUCACCAGCAUACUAACCCAAACUUUUUUAUUAUGGACAUUGCAUAUGGGUCUAUGAACAAUGAUUCACAUUUAAACAUUUUCUCUACUCAAAAUCAUCAAUUGCUGCAAAUAAGAUCAUGAUCUCUUAGUUUUUUUUCUUAGAAGACACUAUUGACCUGUUGCUAGACUUUUGACUUUGCAUCUUUUCUGGACAGAUUUAUAUUUCUGUAGCAAGCCAUGCAUGUAUACUCUUUGCAUUUUAUUCCUUUAAAUCUACUCUCCCAGUGAUCCUCUGUUUAGCUAUCUUCUAAGCCUUGUUCUUUCCAGUUAAAGCGGAUGCUUUUGUUUUCAAUGUUAAAUUCUGCUUUCUCAGUUGCACAGUUCAAGGUAAAGAUAAACAAAAACUUCUGCUGAAUCAACAAGUCAAUUCUUGCAUUCUCUUCUUCCAUGUUCAAAAAUCACAAGGGAAUUUGUAAGACUGUAUAUUCCUACCCAUUACAAACUUCAAUCAGAGUUGAUCUACUUCAACUAUUUACAAAGUCCCUUUUCCUCAGUUUCAUUGGUUGGGAUAACUUAAAUAUGUCAAAUGUCACCAUUUAGAAAUAUAAAUAGAGUUAGACUAGUUUAAUAACAUUAAGGCUAAGAUUUGACUGCUAUUGAAUCGAUGUAUGGGUAUGAUUGGAUUUUAUUGUACAAUUUAAAUUAAAAUAGCACAUUUAGAAAUGUUGAAAAAGAAUUUAUCCUGAGCCUUCAAAGCUGCAUGGAGAACAAACAUGUGGAAGUAUAGUGUUAGUUAUUUGUUUCCACCAGAGGGCGGUAUUGCUUUAUAUUCCAGGGCCAGGGGUCUGCAGCCCCAAGGGCUAAACACCCUCCACAAUGUCUCUUAAUAACUUUGGCUCAUCUAGAUUUCGAUUUUUUUCCAAUUCCCUUCUUAAAGUCCCCAUCCUCCUGGAAACAGUAAGCCAUCAUUCACUCUGAAAACUACAAACCAAUAGUUCCUUCAUCAGGUGACAUCCAUUUUCUCCCCUUCAGAGACUCGUUUCCUGACAAUCUGGCAA